rnacentral:rRNA from 1 species
UACGUAGGGGGCUAGCGUUGUCCGGAAUCAUUGGGCGUAAAGCGCGUGUAGGCGGUCCGGUAAGUCCGCUGUGAAAGUCGGGGGCUCAACCCUCGGAUGCCGGUGGAUACUGUCGGGCUUGAGUACGGAAGAGGCGAGUGGAAUUCCUGGUGUAGCGGUGAAAUGCGCAGAUAUCAGGAGGAACACCAAUUGCGAAGGCGGCAUUCUGGACCGAUAUUGACGCUGAGGAGCGAAAGCCAGGGGAGCAAACGGG